rnacentral:rRNA from 1 species
UACGAAGGGGGCUAGCGUUGUUCGGAAUCACUGGGCGUAAAGGGCGCGUAGGCGGCUUGACAAGUCAGGUGUGAAAGCCCCGGGCUCAACCCGGGAAUUGCACUUGAUACUGUCUCGCUCGAGUCCGGGAGAGGAUGGCGGAAUUCCCAGUGUAGAGGUGAAAUUCGUAGAUAUUGGGAAGAACACCGGUGGCGAAGGCGGCCAUCUGGACCGGUACUGACGCUGAGGCGCGAAAGCGUGGGGAGCAAACAGG